GCCAGACUCCUACGGGAGGCAGCAGUGGGGAAUAUUGGGCAAUGGGCGCAAGCCUGACCCAGCAACGCCGCGUGAAGGAAGAAGGCUUUCGGGUUGUAAACUUCUUUUGACAGGGAAGAGUAGAAGACGGUACCUGUCGAAUAAGCCACGGCUAACUAUGUGCCAGCAGCCGCGGUAAUACAUAGGGAGCAAGCGUUAUCCGGAUUUAUUGGGUGUAAAGGGUGCGUAGACGGGAAAUUAAGUUAGUUGUGAAAUCCCUCGGCUUAACUGAGGAACUGCAACUAAAACUGAUUUUCUUGAGUACUGGAGAGGAAAGUGGAAUUCCUAGUGUAGCGGUGAAAUGCGUAGAUAUUAGGAGGAACACCAGUGGCGAAGGCGACUUUCUGGACAGUAACUGACGUUGAGGCACGAAAGUGUGGGGAGCAAACAGGAUUAGAUACCCUAGUA
rnacentral:rRNA from 1 species